GUCUUGCUCGGUCACCCAGGCUGGAGUGCAAUGGUGCAAUCUUGGCUCACUGCAACCUCCACUUCCCGAGUUAAAGCGAUUCUCCUGCAUCAGCCUCCCGAGUUGCUGGGAUUGCAGUCAUGUACCACCAUGACCGGCUAAUUUUUGUAUUUUUAGUAUAGACCGGGUUUCACCAUGUUGUCCAGGCUGGUCUCGAACUCCCGACCUCGUGAUCCGCCUGUCUAGUCCUCCCAAUGUGCUGGGAUUACAGGCAUGAGCCACUGCGCCCGGCCCAGGGAAGUCUUUUAUAAUAUUCUUAAUUCACAUUUUGGUGAAGCAGUAUACAGAAUGGUAGGCUCCCCUCUUCCUGUGGAAGCCCCUACCUUGAAAGGGGCUGUCAGAACAGAAGUUUCAGGGGAGGGGCUAGAGCCCUGGGGACUUUCCUCAGGUGAUGGUGAUGGAAGAAGAGGCAAGGCAGGACCGGAGGGCUCAGGUGGCCACAGAGUGCAUGUGCUAUGAGGGACCCGUCCGACAUAUACCCUCCCAGAAGAGCAGGAAAGGGGGUUCAUAAAGAUGUUCUUCUGAUGGGGAGUGUCCUAUAAGGCCACCUUCACAUGGGAGGAUCGCAGCGCAUUUCGGCCAAGACAGGUGAGACUGCGGUUCUGACCUGCGGGCCUCGAUGAAUUGCGUUAGGACACCUGGGCUCCGGGAGAGCCGUUCCACUCCGCAAAGUAAGCGUGUUAUGUCUACAACCCAACGGGGACGCGCUAAGAGCCCCAAAGGCCCUGCUUUCAUCCCAAAGAACAGCCCCCGCCUGCGUAGUUUGUACCCGGCUCUAUGAGGUGAGAACACAUUCCCCGAUAGCACAGAAAUCCUACAAACUCCUGAGGGGGCUGCGGCUAGAAGCAGACGCUGUGUGAAAUGUGACUGGAGGUUAGGGAAAAACACGUAGAUUUUCACAGACCCUGAGAACCCAAGAGACUGCAGACCAUGGACAGACAAAUCUCUGCAAAAAGCAGCCCCGCGUAGAUAAAGGAAGAGCUGUGCGGCCUUCGCGCUAGCUAGCUUGUGUAAAGGUCGACGCUUCUUAUUUCUCCCGAGGCGGGGAGAAAGCGACAUAUUACUACUAUUCCUCAACCUCCGACUGUGAGAGAAACGAUUAAGAGUAAAGCACAAGCCAGUAAAAAAAACAAGUAACCCUCGCCGUGCAGACUGUUCUUUAAACUACAAAAAUCA
rnacentral:lncRNA from 1 species